AACAGAUGAAGGAACUAAAAAAACUCAUCUUUUGAAGAACUGAAGUCCAGACAUGACAGAGAUAUGAUUGGAGACACAGUGACGGACAGCAGAGACUUGUUCAGUAUUAUACUAAUAGUAAAGAUUGAGUCAAAGAUCAAGAGUUGGCUACAUGUGAUGAAAAGCUUGGGAAAGUCAUCUUCUGUCGCAGGUGUCUGGAAUAUACUGAAGAAAAUCUUAAUACGUUUAACAAAUUUCUGGUGUGCGUUUCAUAUCGUUCACGUGGUUACUGUUGACGUCACUUACGUCUGAUGUCAUCCGUAGCACGCAUGGCAUACUGAUGCGGAAGCGUGUUUGAUACUGAAAAAAAAAAGUAUUUAAUCUAAGUUUAAGACAUAUUUAAAUGCAAUAUUUUAAAAUAAAACAUAUUGAUAAUAUUAGGGCACCAUGAUGAUCAGUUGCAGCUUCAUCUGUGUAUACACAUAUAUAUUUGCAGUGCUGAUAAAUAAAGUGUCUCUGGAUGUCACAGUAGAGGGUUUCAUCGGUGGUUCUGUUGUCCUGCCGUGUUCUUCAGCUGAACAUGAUCUUAAACUUCAAGAGGUUGAUGUGAGCUGGAGACACAAUGGCAGCAAAAAAUGUGUGGUGAUUUAAUUCCACGCAGUAAUUCAAUAGAGACACAGGACCCACGAUACAAGAACAGAACCAAAACUUUCCCUGAAGGGUAUGAACGAAGAAACUUCUCCAUCAAACUCUCUGGUCUCACUCACGCUGAUGCAGGAAAAUACAUCUGUCUCAUCACACCCUCAGAUGAACAGGAGACUGUAGAGCUGAUCGUCAACGGUGAGUGAAACUAGCUGUUUUUAAUCUAAAUGAAGCUCUAUGAAUUAAAAUCUAUAAUGGUAGAUGUAUGAUUGAUGUUUCAGUCUUAAAGCUCCUGUAUAUAAAUGACAGGGAUCUGUUGUCUUCAUCACAGUGCAGUAAUAUUGUUUUCUCUCAGA